rnacentral:rRNA from 1 species
GUACAUGCUUACAUCAUAGCGUUAAUGCACUGGAUGUUUUUAGAACUCCAAAAUUAAUCAUGCUUGGGUUAGAGUAGUAUUGGGAUGGGUGACCGCCCGAUAAGUCCUAGUUUUUUACACA